rnacentral:rRNA from 1 species
CCUACGGGAGGCAGCAGUAGGGAAUCUUCCACAAUGGGCGAAAGCCUGAUGGAGCAACGCCGCGUGGGUGAAGAAGGUCUUCGGAUCGUAAAACCCUGUUGUUAGAGAAGAAAGUGCGUGAGAGUAACUGUUCACGUUUCGACGGUAUCUAACCAGAAAGCCACGGCUAACUACGUGCCAGCAGCCGCGGUAAUAUGUAGGUGGCAAGCGUUAUCCGGAUUUAUUGGGCGUAAAGGGAACGCAGGCGGUCUGUUAAGUCUGAUGUGAAAGCCUUCGGCUUAACCGGAGUAGUGCAUUGGAAACUGGGAGACGUGAGCGCAGAAGAGGAGAGUGGAACUCCAUGUGUAGCGGUGAAAUGCGUAGAUAUAUGGAAGAACACCAGUGGCGAAAGCGGCUCUCUGGUCUGUAACUGACGCUGAGGUUCGAAAGCGUGGGUAGCAAACAGGAUUAGAUACCCUGGUAGUC